rnacentral:rRNA from 1 species
UACGUAGGGGGCGAGCGUUGUCCGGAUUUAUUGGGCGUAAAGAGCGUGUAGGCGGCCAGGUAGGUCUGCUGUGAAAACUCGAGGCUCAACCUCGAGACGUCGGCGGAAACCAUCUGGCUAGAGUCCGGAAGAGGAGAGUGGAAUUCCUGGUGUAGCGGUGAAAUGCGUAGAUAUUGGGAGGAACACCAGUGGCGAAGGCGGCUCACUGGACUGGUACUGACGCUGAUGCGCGAAAGCGUGGGGAGCAAACAGG